rnacentral:rRNA from 1 species
GUAGGGAAUAUUGGUCAAUGGACGAAAGUCUGAACCAGCCAUUCCGCGUGCAGGAAGAAGAUUCUAUGGAUUGUAAACUGCUUUUAGCAGAGAAGAAACGCCUUCAUUGAUGAGGGUUUGACGGUAUCUGCGGAAUAAGCACCGGCUAACUCCGUGCCAGCAGCCGCGGUAAUACGGGGGGUGCAAGCGUUAUCCGGAAUCACUGGGUUUAAAGGGUGCGUAGGCGGGAAAUUAAGUCAGUGAGGAAAGUCUGUUACUUAACGAUAGGAUUACCGUUGAUACUGAUUUUCUUGAAUUGGGUAGAGGUUAGCGGAAUGUGACAUGUAGCGGUGAAAUGCAUAUAUAUGUCAUGGAACACCAAUUGCGAAGGCAGCUAGCUGGGCCUUGAUUGACGCUGAGGCACGAAAGCGUGGGUAGCGAACAGGAUUAGAAACCCCGGUAGUCC